rnacentral:rRNA from 1 species
ACUGGGCGUAAAGAGCUCGUAGGUGGUUUGUCGCGUUGUUCGUGAAAUCUCACGGCUUAACUGUGAGCGUGCGGGCGAUACGGGCAGACUUGAGUACUGCAGGGGAGACUGGAAUUCCUGGUGUAGCGGUGGAAUGCGCAGAUAUCAGGAGGAACACCGGUGGCGAAGGCGGGUCUCUGGGCAGUAACUGACGCUGAGGAGCGAAAGCGUGGGGAGCGAACAGGAUUAGAUACCCUGGUAGUCCACGCCGUAAACGGUGGGUACUAGGUGUGGGUUUCCUUCCUUGGGAUCCGUGCCGUAGCUAACGCAUUAAGUACCCCGCCUGGGGAGUACGGCCGCAAGGCUAAAACUCAAAGAAAUUGACGGGGGCCCGCACAAGCGGCGGAGCAUGUGGAUUAAUUCGAUGCAACGCGAAGAACCUUACCUGGGUUUGACAUGCACAGGACGCCGGCAGAGAUGUCGGUUCCCUUGUGGCCUGUGUGCAGGUGGUGCAUGGCUGUCGUCAGCUCGUGUCGUGAGAUGUUGGGUUAAGUCCCGCAACGAGCGCAACCCUUGUCUCAUGUUGCCAGCGGGUAAUGCCGGGGACUCGUGAGAGACUGCCGGGGUCAACUCGGAGGAAGGUGGGGAUGACGUCAAGUCAUCAUGCCCCUUAUGUCCAGGGCUUCACACAUGCUACAAUGGCCGGUACAAAGGGCUGCGAUGCCGCGAGGUUAAGCGAAUCCUUUUAAAGCCGGUCUCAGUUCGGAUCGGGGUCUGCAACUCGACCCCGUGAAGUCGGAGUCGCUAGUAAUCGCAGAUCAGCAACGCUGCGGUG